rnacentral:rRNA from 1 species
CAGCAGCCGCGGGAAUACGUAGGGUGCAAGCGUUAAUCGGAAUUACUGGGCGUAAAGCGUGCGCAGGCGGUUAUAUAAGACAGAUGUGAAAUCCCCGGGCUCAACCUGGGAACUGCAUUUGUGACUGUAUAGCUAGAGUACGGCAGAGGGAGAUGGAAUUCCGCGUGUAGCAGUGAAAUGCGUAGAUAUGCGGAGGAACACCGAUGGCGAAGGCAAUCCCCUGGGCCUGUACUGACGCUCAUGCACGAAAGCGUGGGGAGCAAACAGGAUUAGAUACCCGAGUAGUCCCUGUCUCUUAUAA